rnacentral:rRNA from 1 species
GUGGGGAAUAUUGCACAAUGGGCGAAAGCCUGAUGCAGCAACGCCGCGUGAGUGAUGAAGGCCUUCGGGUUGUAAAGCUCUGUCUUUGGGGACGAUAAUGACGGUACCCAAGGAGGAAGCCACGGCUAACUACGUGCCAGCAGCCGCGGUAAUACGUAGGUGGCAAGCGUUGUCCGGAUUUACUGGGCGUAAAGGAUGCGUAGGCGGAUAUUUAAGUCAGAUGUGAAAACCCCGAGCUUAACUUGGGGACUGCAUUUGAAACUGGAUAUCUAGAGUGUGGGAGAGGAGAAUGGAAUUCCUAGUGUAGCGGUGAAAUGCGUAGAGAUUAGGAAGAACACCAGUGGCGAAGGCGAUUCUCUGGACCAUAACUGACGCUGAGGCAUGAAAGCGUGGGUAGCAAACAGGAUUAGAUACCCGUGUAGUCC